rnacentral:tRNA from 1 species
AUGGGGCGUCGCCAAGCGGUAAGGCACCAGGUUUUGAUCCUGGCAUGCGUAGGUUCGAAUCCUGCCGCCCCA